AGUUUAUAAGGGAGUCAGAGGGGCUUGUCCAGCAAUCAUUUCCCUACCCUCCACUGUUGGAGAGGGAGGUCAUUUUGGUCUCUGACCACCUUUUUCUUUUCUUUUAUUUUUGAUUUAUUUUUCAUCUCCACUUGGAAUGCUGGUCUAUCCAUACUGAGCCUACUGAUUAGGAGUGUUGUGAUACCUCAUAUCCAUUCUUGGCUGCUGACACUUUUUAUGUGAAUACGUUUGUUAUUUCACACACCCCUCAUGGUCUUGGAGCCCUCUGGGAGUGGGGGAGACCUAUGGGCAUUUAGCAUACCAUCUGACUUGGCCGCAUUGGAUCCGGCGCACACACAGGCUCUCUGGGGACGAUCUGGGCACUCCAAGCUUGGGAGAGGAAAAACCUCACUGCUAAUGUUCCCUGAAGAAGGAUGUAUUACUAAAAGUAUUUGAA